ensembl:lncRNA
GAUCGGAGCGCCCACCCGAGCCUUCCCCCCCACGGGCAAGGAAAGUGAAGUGGAAACAAUGUGAAAUUCACCAGCUCUGAAAUCAACAAGCUGCCGGCUCGGGAGCUACGGAGCCAACAGCGGCGUCCCCAUUUAAAGGGACAGCGCACCCGGUGGAGAGAAGAAAUAAAUACUCGAAGAGGUCUGCGCGCCCGGAUCGCUCGCCAGCGUGUGUUCCGCAGACGCGCGAGGUGCGGACGUGUUCUCUCCACACCUCCGCCGCCCCCACUGGGCUCGCCAAGCGCAUUCAAGGAUAAAAGAGUCUUCUCGGCGGCUUCUAAGGGCGUGUCCCCGCGAGGACGUCUGUCUGCGGGCGCGUUUGCAUCUCUACCCCGGGAACCCCGACACCUUUAGAUGGCGAAAGGAACCUACCUGCUUUAAGGAAUAUGAAACCGAUCUUCUCUUUUGGUAAAAAUGGCCAAGAAUGAUAGAAUUAAGCUUAUCAAAAUAGGUGCCCACCCUGCCCCGCAUACACUCCCAUUCACCUCCCCUAACGUACCCCUCCUUUGCCCUUUCCCUGGACAGUGUCCUAUCUGACUUAACAAACAACUUGAUGUAUAAAGAGUUAAUGAGAUCCGACCUUCUCUACCAGAAAGGGAAACCGAAGUGAGAGUGGGGGAGGGGAAACGAUGCAUUGCCUCAGGUUCCAGAAGAGAAUGUUGGAUGGAGAGAUAAAAUUUUCUUUGUGAUAGAAUUUGAGACUAUUUGCCAGAAGCUGGGUGGACCAGGAUAAGCCCAAGGCCUGGUUCCUCCAAGGGUGUUAGGUUUGUCAUAGACAGGGAAGUUGGGUCUAAGUCACAGUCCCUUACCAGGAUGGGAUUUCAAAGAUGGUGUUACUGUUUAUGUGAUACAAACAUUUUAGGAGGUGUGUUUACUUAGAAACACUUAUCCUCCUUAAUGCCCCAAAAGGCAACAUUUCUCUAUCCUAUACAGUUACUGAUUUGGAUCAGGCCCUUUUUAUUUUCUUAUCUGGGUUCUCAUAGCCAAAAGUACAAAUUGUUUUGUUACACCUGUGAGGAAGCCCAGACUCUGCCAUACCUACUGUAAAAUAGUAGUAAUGCCUCUCAUUGGCUGUUUUGAGAAUUAUAUGAAAUAAGUCAUAUCAAGCACUUGGUGUGCAGAAUGAUAUAACAAACACUCCGUACAAGUUAACUACAUCAACUUCUACAAUUGUUAUCAAUUUAAUUCUUCCCCUUCUCCACAAUCUAUUCUCCACAUUGUUGUCACCGAUUUUUACACAACACAGAUCUGGCCACUGACUUCCCCUGGAAUCUGUUUCAACUCCACUCCUAACUACACUGAAGCCAGUUUUCCACCUGGGCCCUUGCUCAAGCUGGUGGCCAACCUUCCUUCCUUGGAAGCCCCCUGGAACCUUUACAGAAGCGUUCAUAGGAGACUGAUGAAUUUUGACCUUGCCUUAUCAUUGUUAAUGCAAGAUCCAGAUUGGGAGGUUCUUAAGAAGGAGGGGUACACCUUGCUCACAUUAUUUCCCACAGCACUUGGCCCUGCAUAAAGGCCCUCUGAUUAUUGAGUCAAGUCAUGGGUGAAGAACUGCAGCAUAAUCAGUUGAUUUCUUUUGCUUUUGAUUUCUUUCUUUUUAAAACAAACUUUCUCACCCAGUCAACCCUAAAGAAGGAAGAUAUGUGCCCAGAAGGAAAGAGAUGAAAGGAAGAAUGAAGAGAAAGACAAUUACUGAAAGAUGUUCAAGAAUGUCUGAACUUUGUUUAAAAAAUAAUGCAUACAUCCAGAGUUUUGAAGAAUGCCUGAACAGUCCACCGUCUACGGAAGUACUAAGGACAAGAUUUUUAUCCCUGUUCAGAUACUAGAAUCUCUCCUAAAAUAGAGUGAACAACCUCAGGGAUGAUCAUCAGGAGCUCAAUCCCAGAGUACGAAGACUCCAAAGUCACUUUCAGGGACAUGGGGUGUGUUCCAAAUGGAGAGAAUACAUGAGGAAUUUGAGAAGCUGGAAGAAGGCCAGUUCAUCUGGAAUAGGGAAGGGAGGGGAAGAAUGGCAAGGAAUGAAACUAGAGAUGGAGGAGAGCCAGAUUGUGAUUAAGAUG